UACGUAGGUUUCCCUCGUUGUCCGUCCUUCUUGGGCGUAAAGAGCUCGUAGGCGGUUUGUCGCGUCUGCUGUGAAAUCCGGAGGCUCAACCUCCGGCCUGCAGUGGGUACGGGCAGACUAGAGUGCGGUAGGGGAGAUUGGAAUUCCUGGUGUAGCGGUGGAAUGCGCAGAUAUCAGGAGGAACACCGAUGGCGAAGGCAGAUCUCUGGGCCGUAACUGACGCUGAGGAGCGAAAGCAUGGGGAGCGAACAGG
rnacentral:rRNA from 1 species